AUGCGAUAAGUAAUGUGAAUUGCAGAAUUCAGUGAAUCAUCGAAUCUUUGAACGCACAUUGCGCCCGCCAGUAUUCUGGCGGGCAUGCCUGUUCGAGCGUCAUUUCAACCAUCAAGCCCCGGGCUUGUGUUGGGGACCUGCGGCUGCCGCAGGCCCUGAAAAGCAGUGGCGGGCUCGCUGUCACACCGAGCGUAGUAGCAUAUAUCUCGCUCUGGGCGUGCUGCGGGUUCCGGCCGUUAAACCACCUUUUAACCCAAGGUUGACCUCGGAUCAGGUAGGAAGACCCGCUGAACUUAA
rnacentral:misc_RNA from 1 species